GUGAUUGCCUCAGCAGCACACGUAUUAAAAUUGGAAUGACACAGAAAAGAUUAGCAUGGCCUCUGUGCAAGAUGAUAUGCAAAUUCAUGAAUAAUUCCAUGUUUGA